CCUACGGGCGGCAGCAGUGAGGAAUAUUGGUCAAUGGACGAGAGUCUGAACCAGCCAAGUAGCGUGAAGGAUGACUGCCCUAUGGGUUGUAAACUUCUUUUAUAUGGGAAUAAAACAAGGUAUGCAUACCCUCUUGUAUGUACCAUAUGAAUAAGGAUCGGCUAACUCCGUGCCAGCAGCCGCGGUAAUACGGAGGAUCCGAGCGUUAUCCGGAUUUAUUGGGUUUAAAGGGAGCGUAGGUGGAUUGUUAAGUCAGUUGUGAAAGUUUGCGGCUCAACCGUAAAAUUGCAGUUGAAACUGGCAGUCUUGAGUACAGUAGAGGUGGGCGGAAUUCGUGGUGUAGCGGUGAAAUGCGUAGAUAUCACGAAGAACUCCGAUUGCGAAGGCAGCUUACUGGACUGCAACUGACACUGAUGCUCGAAAGUGUGGGUAUCAAACAGGAUUAGAUACCCUUGUAGUC
rnacentral:rRNA from 1 species